rnacentral:lncRNA from 1 species
GUUUCUUCAUUAUCCUUUUCUUUUGUCUUGGGAGGGUCAGAAUCAGGUAUGACUUGUGUUUGUUCUGGGACUGGUCGGUCAAUAACAUUUCCACUUCGCAAAGUUAUUAUACUCUUUGCUUGUUCUUUAUGCGAAGUUGAAGAUGAUGCAUUGCUACCGCCAUAGAUUUGAGGAUUAGGUUGUGGUUGAGCUGGUAGCUUA